rnacentral:rRNA from 1 species
UACGGGGGGGGGUAAGCGUUGUUCGGAAUUACUGGGCGUAAAGGGCUCGUAGGCGGCCAACUAAGUCAGACGUGAAAUCCCUCAGCUUAACUGGGGAACUGCGUCUGAUACUGGAUGGCUUGGAUUUGGGAGAGGGAUGCGGAAUUCCAGGUGUAGCGGUGAAAUGCGUAGAUAUCUGGAGGAACACCGGUGGCGAAGGCGGCAUCCUGGACCAACAUUGACGCUGAGGAGCGAAAAGCCCAGGGGGAGCCAAAAGCGGGG